UUAUUAUUUGUCUACUUUUUUGUUUGAGACAGGAUGUUCUUAUGCAGCCUUUGUUGGCCUUGAUCUUGCUGCCCCAAAGGACUCCUAGGAACACACUCAACAAGGGACAAAGUCUGAGAACAGUUUCGUCUGCAUGGUGAACAGUGCAGGAGGUGCCCGCCAAGCCCUAGCACAGUAGACUGAAGACGGCCACACAGGUCUCAUUGAUGGAAGAGUGUCCUGCUGAUUGGUAGGGAAGUGGCACUGGAAACAGAGGUGGCAUCCGCAGUCAGGUGGACUGGGAGCAAGAAGAGAAGGAAAAUGUUUUCUCAUCUCAGGAACACCCAGCACCUUACCAUGACCCUUCCUUGUGCAAGAAGAUUAUAAGCGGCAACUUGGGGAACUUCCUCACUGGGGCAAAGUUCCUCUCUCUCCAGCAGACGUCAAGUGAGCAGGGCAUUGUGUGUCCGAGUGAAUAUCAACCAUCGAGGAUAUCCACAGAGAUCUGGGUUUAAGAUCUGCUUAGGCAGAAGUGUCACCAAGAGUAUCAUAUGCUGGAAC